rnacentral:lncRNA from 1 species
UUAAAACAUGAGAUGUUAGAUCCAAGGACAAUAGAAUGUCAGGGCCAAAAGGGAGCUUAGGACGUGGAAUAUUACAACAUAGAACAGAAUGUCAAAGACAGAAGGGACUUUAGAACAUGGAAUGUUAUAUCUUAAUUUCUUAUCUUGGCUCAACCAGAUACUCCAGACAAAGAGGAUAUAGAUCUUUAUAUUCAUCCUCGUGGUUUUUGCAUGUUUUUCUAGACCAGAAGUCCUUAAAAUGUGAUUUGGAGACCCAAGGACCUUUGAGGAAUCUUCCUCUGAUGUCGGAUUGGAGCAUGAAGAAGACCACAGCUUCCAAAGGACUGUUCCUUCAGCUUGGGUUGUCUGGGGGAGAGGUUUAAGCUCAAGUCCUUUCGUGUUGGCCAAUCAUUCAGUCACAUCCGACUCUUUGUGACUCUCAUGGACCAAAGCAUCAAUGAUACCAUCUGUACGUCAGAGAGGAAGAAGGCUCAGCAAAGAAGAUGUUGCUGUUGUUCAUCCUUCAUUUCCAGAGGACCAGUGACAUCAUGGUGUGAGUAGUAAUAUUUUGACUUGUGUAUGAUUUGAAUUUAAAUGAGGUAGAGUUGCACAAAGUCAACAGUCUAACUCUGCCCUUCCAGAAUCGCCAGACUGGCAAUGACCUGGGAUGCAGUGGAUGGUCUUGCUAUCUUUGAUAUCUGCCAUUGGGACAAAUUAUUCUAAUCUGCCCAUUUCAUGGGGUGGAAAGAGUGGGAGGAAACAUCUUCACAUACUUAGGGUAGACAAACUCACCAAUGAUUUUGAGGCCAGUCUGUUACCCUCAA